rnacentral:rRNA from 1 species
AACGGCCGUACCAUGCUGAAUAUACCGGUUCUCGUUAGAUCACCGAAGUCAAGCAUCAUUGGGCGCUGCCAGUACUUGGGUGGGUGACCACCUGGGAACACCGCGUGCCGUU